AGACAGAUAAGGAGCCCCUGUACAGUGUAUUAGAGGCUGGGAGCCAUACCAUCCUGUUUGUCCAGGAUAUUGCAAGAUAGAGUCAGUCUGACACAGCUACGAAACUUACGACUGUUGGAGUCCCCAACUAUGCCGCUUUCUACAUAUAUUUCCGUACCACAUUGUGAAAACUCAGUGCACUGGCUAAGACACACUGGAGGUUUUCCCCGUCUUCCAGUUUAACUAAAUCCAUUAUUCCCUGACCUCCCCUCAACACAUGAAGCAUUCUGGACACAUGAGUAUCUUCUUCCUUCUUAGCCCUGUGACACUCAACCUUCUACAGUUUGUCUGGAACAGAAGUUUUCUGUCGACUCUGGCAUUUGGCAUCUCUCACCUAAGAAAGCUGAUGGCUACUUUUGGGCUUUCCAUACGGCAAGCUAAAAUAAAGUUUAUACAGAGCUGUAUGUGGACUCUCUAAACAGUUUACACUGCCCUGUUUGCAUAGCUGGCUGGUGAAUUGUGGUUUGUAAUAUCAGGCUUAUCAGAUUGCCCCGUGUGCUCAUUUAUCUAAAGCAAACUGAUUUGUGCAUUUGCACACUCUCCUUGUUGACUAUAUUCUUCAAGGUGAGACAAACUCUCUUCAAAAUAAAAAAUUAGGCUUGCGCCCAUUACAUAAUCUGGCCUUCUGUGGAGCUGUGGGAUGAAGGCACUGCAUCUUUCACCAACUCUGCAUCCACCCAUCAAGGGUAGUGUAAUCUAAUGGCCAUCUUAGACAGAGCCUAGGAGCUUGCCACUGACUUGAUCUGAGAAUUUGAGUAGCUAGCUUAACCUCUUGCUGCCUCAGUUUUCACAUCUAUGAAAUGAGGAUGCUACUUGUCUAUUUAACCUA